rnacentral:misc_RNA from 1 species
AGGAACUGUUUUACCAAAGAGACCCAUAACAAUACGACCGGCAGGUUUACCGUCUAUCUCAACAUCAAAGUAAACUUUGUGAGUAACUUCUUUCAGAUUUUCCUGGGAUUUGGCCUGAGCAAGAGCUAGGGUUCCGAUCACGACCAAACUGCAGAGGAGAAAAAUGGACGGUUGAAAUCUCGUCGCAGCCAUAAUUGCUCGUAUCUCCGGUGAGAGGAUCGUUGUCAAAGUUGUGAGUGAG